UACGGGGGGGGCAAGCGUUGUUCGGAAUUACUGGGCGUAAAGGGCUCGUAGGCGGCCAACUAAGUCAGACGUGAAAUCCCUCGGCUUAACCGGGGAACUGCGUCUGAUACUGGAUGGCUAGAGAUUGGGAGAGGGAUGCGGAAUUCCAGGUGUAGCGGUGAAAUGCGUAGAUAUCUGGAGGAAUACCGGUGGCGAAGGCGGCAUCCUGGACCGACAUUGACGCUAAGGAGCGAAAGCUAGGGGAGCAAACGGG
rnacentral:rRNA from 1 species